rnacentral:rRNA from 1 species
UACGUGGGGUGCGAGCGUUGUUCGGAAUUACUGGGCGUAAAGCGCGUGUAGGCGGCUUGUUAAGUCCGGUGUGAAAUCCCUGAGCUCAACUCAGGAACUGCAUCGGAAACUGGCGAGCUUGAGUCCGGGAGAGGGUGGUGGAAUUCCUGGUGUAGAGGUGAAAUUCGUAGAUAUCAGGAGGAACACCGGUGGCGAAGGCGGCCACCUGGACCGGUACUGACGCUGAGACGCGAAAGCGUGGGGAGCAAACAGG